UCCAUAAACAUUUUCCAAAAGCUUUUUGGCGGAAGAUUAUAUCACAACAUUUCCUAUGAGUUUUUUCCGUGGAAACUUUUCGAAUUUUGUUCUAUGGAAGAUUGUUUCGUAAAACUUGUCAUUUAUCACAAAAAACUUCCUCAAGAAUGUUUUUCUGAUAUUUUCUUGUUUGGAUAGUAACUCUUUCAUUUCUUGUUCGGUUGAAAUACACGAAGUUUUGUUUUCAUAUCCUUCUUUUAAUAAGCUUGGUUUAUGCGGUGUAGUUUCUUUGACAAUUCCGGCUCAUAUUUGUUUAAGGUUCUUUUUCUAAGAAGAUAUUUAGCCGUUGAUUUCGUUGACCGAUUUUGACCC
rnacentral:lncRNA from 1 species